CCAUUUGAUUAUUGUGAUAUUGUCACUUCUACAACUCACAAAAGUCUUCGAGGUCCCAGGGGAGGAAUUAUUUUUUGUCGGAAAGGGCCAAAAUCAAGGAAGCAAAGCAUGCUUAGUAAUGGUGAUGGUAGUAGCCAUUAUGAUUUUGAAGAAAAGAUAAACUUUGCAGUUCAUCCAUCGUUACAAGGUGGCCCUCACAAUAAUCACAUUGCUGCUCUUGCCAUAGCCUUAAAACAAGUAGCUACUCCAGAGUACAAAGCAUACAUGCAACAAGUGAAGAAAAAUGCCCAGGCAUUAGCAUCUGCCUUGUUGAGAAGAAAAUGCAGAUUGGUGACUGGGGGUACUGAUAACCAUUUGUUGCUCUGGGAUCUAACUACUCUAGGCUUGGCAGGCAAGAACUAUGAGAAAGUAUGUGAAAUGUGCCACAUCACUCUAAAUAAGUGUGCUAUCUUUGGUGACAAUGGUGCUAUAUGUCUUAGUGGAGUGAGAAUCGGGGCUCCUGCUAUGACAUCAAGAGGCUGUUUA
rnacentral:misc_RNA from 1 species